GAAGUAUGGGGAUCAAGUAAAAGCCGCUAACUUUUUUCUUUUAAUGGUUAAACUCCAUUUAUACUUCU
rnacentral:tRNA from 1 species